AUUCCUAAACAAACCCUACACACAGCAAAGAAACCAUUAAAAGCCAAGGUCAAUUAAGACCUUUACCCAGUCAAACCUUCCCUUUUUGACCCCUGCAUUAAAUUCAAACGACAGCCCCUAUUCCCAAUUACUACUAGUCGUUUACUACACCAGAAGCCCUAAAAGCAUUUGACAUAUAUAUACAUCUUUAUCUUCACAAAACAUAAACAGCAACCUUUCUAAAUAAACCCUAGCCGUGAGCCUCCUUUCUUCACUGUUCUUCUUUGAAGAACAUGAAGAACACCUGCAUCUCAACCCAGAAAAAUACCCUCUGCCCAGAUCUAAUUAAACCCCAACUGAGCCUAAGUCUUCGUGGUUCUUCACAGAAGAACACGAAGAACACCACAGAUAAUACCCAGAAAAAUAGCUUCCCCAAACUGAUUUUAACCCAGAAUUUAUAAACACAAACAACAAAGAUGAAGCAGAAAAGUAAAGAGAAGAAAGAUAGCACCGGAUUUAUAGAGGUUCCCCAAUGAAAUCUGGGUACGUCCUCUUGAGCUCGCCUCUUCCACUAUAGAUCUUCAAUGAUCAAGAGAUUACACAGCAAGGAUUCCAACUCAUAGCAUUUUGAGAGUGUGUUUUUCUUCUUUGCAACAUGAACAACAUCAUCCCGAGUUGUGGAUCUCCAAACCCAAAUCUAGGGCUUCAAGGCAAACCCGCUGUAAGCCUCAACCACGAACUCCCCUGUUCAUGUUCUGUGUUUUUCUGGAGAAGAAAUUUGAAUCUGUGUAUCUUUUUUUGCUCUCUGUUGUAUCUGAUCUGAGUUUUAAUUUGUAUAUUCUGAUCUUGUAUUGUGUUGUUGUAUUUCUGCCUUUUAUAUAUGUUGUAGUAGUGGAAAAAACAGAGAAAGGAGUUGGUUACAAAGUUUAAUAAACUUUGUAACAAACUUGCUGAUCUGUCCUAGGUAUUUAGAGGCCAAAGGCCACCUAGGAUUUAUUUUACUGUCUUGUAAUCUCUUUGUAAAAAAUCUGGUUUUACAGUGUAUAGCUAAUAUGGGGUUUACUUCAACAA